UGGGAGAGGCCUCUACCCUGAUCCACGCACUUGGGACAUUCUAGCCUCUACAAUCGCACCCCAGCGCUUGCCUCCAGCUGGUCCCUCGUAUGAGCCAGCAUUCUCAGUGACACUGCAGAAGACUCAUCUGCUACCGCCAGCUCGGUCGGCGUCCCCCAAGACAUGGCAGGGAGGCCAGAGGCACCAGAGAGCCAAGAGCCCAACAGGCCAGGGUGAGGAGGGCGGCAUUCCAGGGCAGGCAGAGUGGCUGCCCCUCUAAUGGCUCCGGGCAUGUUCCAGGGUGGAAGCACAUUUUGCAAGCAUUUCCCUCUGAGAGAAGCUACUUCCUGCUGUGCCACAGCCCUGAGCCCCACCACGCUACAGGACAAGGACAAGCAACCCAUGCGUCGUCUUGAGUUUUUUCUUUAACUCCCUACACUGGGAAUAAAACAUCCCCCUCUGGCUGAGAGUACAAACUCGCCUGACUUUAAACUUUCCAAGUGAUACUGGAACAGAUGUUCAAAUAGCCCCCAAAUCUUUCAUCUUUCCAAAAAAAAAAAAAAA